rnacentral:rRNA from 1 species
GUGCCAGCCGCCGCGGUAAGACAGAGGUCCCAAGCGUUAGGCGGAAUCACUGGGCUUAAAGCGUGUGUAGGCGGAUUUGUAAGUACCUUGUGAAAUCCCACGGCUCAACCGUGGAACUGCUUGGUAUACUGCUUAUCUUGGGCCAUCUAGGGGCGAGCGGAACAAACGGUGGAGCGGUGAAAUGCGUAGAUAUCGUUUGGAACGCCAAUGGUGAAAACAGCUCGCUGGGGAUGUGCCGACGCUGAGACACGAAAGCCAGGGGAGCGAACGGGAUUAGAAACCCCCGUAGUCC